GAUAGAGGUGCGGAUUUGAUGAGUACACACAGGCGAGGCCAGCCAGGGCUGCACGAGCGGUGUGAAAAGGCAACUCCGCCGAAGAGAGCGCAGCUGGCGGGGCGGUUCUCUGGUCGCGUGGCCGAACAGGCGCGCGACUGUCAUCAUGUACUUUGAUGGAGAGCUAUCGG
rnacentral:ncRNA from 1 species